UAAUGGAGCAUUCCUGACCAAAUAAAGUAAUGAAAAAUGAUCUAACCAUAAUAGCAAAUUAACCAGCAUAACACCCCUGAACAUGAACUGAUUAAGCUGUCUACUAUCUGAUACCUAUGACAUAGACGCUUCUUCAUUCCUGGAACAUGAUUAAAAGAUAUUACCAAGCGGAUAUUGUACCAGAUGUCAAUAUGGAAAGAUGGAAAGAGAUUACUUGCAAUGCAGGUAGUGAAGGGAAAAAUGAUCUCUAUACAGACUUACCAAAUUGAUAAAAGCAGCAGGAGUUCCAGUUUUCUUCCUCUUAACAGAAAGCACAGAAUUGCCAAGAAUGACUUGACUCUUAAUACUAUCAUUGAGACAGGCAAGUUUCCAAGUGUUACAUUGGGUUAAACCUAGAUAUACUUUUUUUGCCUUUGUGGCUGGCUUUUGGAUUUCAA